UACAUUUAAAAAAUAAAAAUGUUUACAGCUAACCAACAGUGAGAUCUGGUGCAUAUCUGCCUUUGUGCCAUGCUUUGACUCAGAUCCCAGAGAAGUCACAGAGUGAGCAAAUGGGUUUCGGUUGGACGGCACUCAACCACAAGUGCUUCAGGAGCUCAUCUAAUGUGCUUCAGCUGCUGAAUCAAGUCUCCUGCUGCCCCCGAAACACAUAUAGGAUCUAUAAAAAGCCCUCAGUGCCAGCUCCUUUGCUGUGCUGAUUUCCCUCCCAUAGCACAGUGCAGCUUCCUGAAGCUAACCUGCCUUCAGCUUAGCAGCAGCUCCUGGAAAGCUCUUGUUGCUCAGCUUUGGUCCUCAGCUCUUGCUUUAGUGCAAGGAUUGCAAGCAAAGGCACUUCAGCAGAGAGGUAAAUGCUUUGCAGCGCUGGUUUCUCGGACAACCCCGAAAUGAGCUGACGGGCACGGCGCAGGCUGGGCUGGCUGCCUGGGAGGCAGAGUGCAGGAGAGCCUCCGAGAGCGGCGUGGAGGAGGAGGAGGAGGAGGACACCAGGAGAAAGAGGACGGGACCAGCUUACCUCCAUAGGUAUCUCAGGAAGGGGGGGAGCGAUAUUCACCUGAAGAAUAUGCACCCAGUUCCUGCCUAAUACUGAAAUUCCUUAAAAGAGAGCAGCUCCUUAGCACUCCCACAGCCCUUGCCCUAUCUCCCACUCGGAGCCGCUUGCUUAAAAGCUGGCCGACCUGCACCUUUCUGGCCAAAGAUGACCAGAAAGACCUGGGGAGUCCUUAGAGCCCGGUGGAUCCUUGAGCAACCCUUUAAUUCCUCCCACCUCGGCCCUCGCUGCAGCCAGCAGUGAAAAUGCUGCUCCUGAAGCAGGCUGCGGUGGCUGCUGGACGGCACGGAGCAUCACCUGCCCACAGGGACCCAGCUUUCUGCAGCGUUAUCAGAAAUGUUUCCAUGCGUUUGUUUGCAAAAUGUCUUUAUCCAGCCAGGAGAAAUGUCCCUUGAAGUCAGCUAACCAAAUAAAUAAAUAACAGUCAAAGACAAUAGAGUGGAAAAGUUUCUAGAGGGAAAUAAGUGAUGGAUUGGAAGAGAUUUGAGGCUGUUAUGGUGUACAACUCAGUGCGUGAUGUGACAGGAGAGAAUCCUCAUUGUGCCCUUUCCUGGUCUUCCAUUUUAAAUGAAGUCCUAAAAAUGCUGAUUUAAAAGGGUUGGAGAAGCAAAACAAAAUAGGCAGAUGUAUGGUGUGACAUUUUUGUUGUAGACUUCAAUUUUUUUCAUAAUACAGCUGCUGGUAGCUGUGUCGGAACAGAGUUCUUUGACCAGGGUGCAGAAGGGAUGCUGGAGCUGAUGGCAGUUUUUUAGUGUGCUCAUGCACAAGUCUGAACAAAGAGAGCAGUGAUUUCACUUUGCAACCAUAAUAAUAGCAAGCAACAGGAAUUCUGACCUGGAAUUUGUCUUUGCAUUCCAAGAGUAUCCUUGAGCAGUCUGUGGAGACCCAGGGAAAACAGCUGAUUAAUGCCACCAUUAAUGAAAAUAAACACAGCAUAAAAUUCCAAGUAGCGGGACUGCUUCCCAAAGCAUCCAGGAGUGAGGGAUAACAGCAAAUGCAAUAAAGCAGAAAUCCGCUUUGACUGUCAAGGGGUAAUGUUUCCUAGCUCAGACCCAGGCCUGUGAGGGGGAACAUACCAUCCAUAGCAAAGCAGUCUGCGACCUUGAAGUGCUCAUGUGCUUGAAAAGCGAUCUCAGAAAUGCAGACAUGAAUGUUAUUGGUGGCUGUUUCCCCAUUCCCAGCCUCUGCAAAGGGUCCCAUGCUAUCUCCUGUACUGCACAGGACCUGGCUGCUGUUGAUGCUCAGGGUGCUAUUGCCCCAAACGUCAAGUCAGAAGUUUCCUGGCAGGUUUUGUGGGAAAACAGCAGUAAAUAUUCUGCCCACCAUCAACAGGCAGAUUUGUCAAGGAGGUGCCUGUAGUGCGAGUGGUGGGGUGUGCAGGUAUUUGUGUGCAUGAGUCCGCGCCUGGGAGAGGUCUCUGCCUCUUUCUCAUGUGUGUAUUUAUCUCACCAAUUUGACCGAAGGAAUUACAGGAUUGAAAGGAAAUUAAUAGCUUAGCACCCAGUCAGCUUCUUAUUUUGAAUCAAUCCAUUCUUGUCACUUGGACUGAACUAAAUAAUUAAUCGUGCUACCUAAAAAUAAUUACGGCUAAUAUCACAGAGAUUACACUAGCCAGUUCUAACAAUAAUGUUGUUAAGAACAUCUAAAUAACCCUAUAUUUAAUUACAGUCUGGCUUGUUUAGUGAUGUACAGGUUUGGGGCUUUCUCUCACUGCAAAUUUGGGCCAGUUACAUUUAUUAAAUGAGAACUUUUUAUAGCUAGUGUUCAAAUUAUCAAAUACUUGCCUAAAGCAAUCCCAUUGAUCAAGUGUAUCAUUUGUAAUACAAAUGUUUUUAUUAGGAGGCUUUGUUCAAGAUAAAUGAAGGAUCAAAUUAACUGGAGAUUGGUUUGAGUAGAAAAUGCUGCAGCUGGAUAAUUUCAAGCACUGAGGCUGAACAUUUCUUUCAAAUGACGAGAAGUCAUCAACUAAGUCUUAAUAUAAAACAUGCACGCACAGAGGCAUCUUUGUAUUGAUUCCUCUCAUUUCUAUGGCACUCUUUAUACAAAGCACAUCAGGUUUUGUAGGAAAGGUUGCAAACCCAUCACAUCACUGCCACUAAACCAAUCUGAGAUAUUUUUUUUUCUGGCCAAAACUAUGUAUGCUAUCAAAAUACCAGCAUGCCCCAGAACCUUCUUCCCACUCCCUCUUUUUUCAACCCCAUUGUGCUACCUCUGUUCCCACCCAGGAAGAUUUAUUGUGCAGCUCUGUUCUUAAUUCAAAUGCCUCCCUUGCAGCUGGGCUGGGGCAGUAGUGUGCCUUCUUUUUGGAAGGGAAACAAGGAGCCUAGACACGUGAAUAUUUACCUCUUUCCAGCAUUCGUGGUAGCACAGCAGGGUUUGGAUGUGAUUGAGGGUUUGCCCAUGAUCAGCCAGUGGAAAAUGAGCAUGUGAGUGCAAUGCUGUUACUUUAUAUAUAUACACAUAUUAAUACAGUCUGCGUUAGGAAAGCUAUUUGUCUGGGGUUACAUUUUUGGCUGCCAUGUAGAACUGUAGGUAUUAAAUAGUUGCUUUCUAAAUUAAGCUCUCCCCUUGCCACAUCCCACUCCCAUAGCGAUGCAUGGAGCGUUUGCUGAUACAGGCAAUACAGAUGUCUGGGGAGCUGCUGUAAAACCUCCCAAGAUUUACAGCUCCUCCGCCAGGUUUCUCCAUGGGUUGGCUUCAGAGGGAGAGGUCUCACAGGCAUUCAGGAUCCUUUCAAAUCUAUCUCCAGAGGCACCCGCAAUAAUCAGAGGAAAUCCCUUGAAGCCCAUCAGAUAAAAUUUACAGACCUGGAAAGGCAGCAUGGAGCAUCCAGAGAUGAGACUGCAGCAUCGCAUCCCUGUUCAGCUUGCAGGACUGCUUUCAGAGGACAGCUACUGGUGGGACAUAACGGCCUCUCCAGCCUCUUUCCUCAAUCUGUUCCCAGGCAUGAGGGUAAAUAGCUUAGAGGAGAAAAAUUCAUGCUUGUUAUAUGGUGCUGAUUUCAGGAAAGCUGACACAGAUUGAUUUCACCAGGAAUAUCUCUUGUGCUUUGUUUUAUUUUAGUAGAUAGUCUGUUUUCAGGGAAAACAAACAAACAAAAAAAAAACAACAAAACAACAACAACAAAACCAGCGUGAUCUAGGUUUAGAAAUGACUCAUGUUUGGCCACCCAAAUAACAUGACAGUUGGGAAAUCUCAGCUAAGUUCAAUGUCCUGCCUCUGUCUGCAACAUCUCCUGGAAAAGCCACGGAAGUGACUCACAGGUUGCUCCAUCUGCCAAGAGCUUCCCUGUCUGCUGUCCUUGCAAAAAGAGAUUUCCUCAUCUUGGGCAGCAGCUGAGUUUUUGUGUGCAGUCAAAACUGCCUCUGAAAACAGAGGACGUCUGAGAGAAGGGCUGAUACAACAGAGUUUUAGGCAGGAAUACAUCUGAAAAUGAAGUUUGGCAAAGAAAGCUUAAAAGGGAGAAAUGUGCAGAAGUUACAUGAGCAAAAUCCUGAUUUCUCCAACAUUGUUUUCAGAAGGGGAGUGACAACUUCUGGGAAAAUGCCAGGACUUUAAAUACGUGUUUUCUUUUUCUGAAUAUUGGACAUGCCAGCCCAAUGGGCAUAGUGGAUAAGUUUAAUUGAGUGGUUAGAUUUAGUUGAUUGGUUUAAUUGAUUGUUUAGGUUUAAUUGAUUGGUUUUGAUAAAGUGUUCCUAGUCUCCAGAGACAGCAGGCUGUACAGACAAGUGAAGAGUAGGCACUACUCAUUUGAUCAUCUUCGUCACAUGUGUAGAUAAAUAAUAAUAAUAGGAGAAAAAGAAAUAUAAAUUAUUUUUAGGAUGAAACAAUUUAAAAUAUAUGGUUUGGGGAAAAAUAGUUCUGAUUUCUGUCUGAAGUUAUGGACAUGGGGUCUAUAUGAUCAAAGAAACCCAAUAAAACCAUGGCCAGCUGGUGUCAAAAUAAUGACUGGGAAAGGGGGGAGCCAGCGCAAUGGUCAGCAGACAGCUCCCACAGCAGAGGAUGCAGCGAGUUUCCCUAUGGACACAGCAAGGUCUGGCUGCAAAUCAGCAGGAAUUCUUUGGAGAAAAAACAAACAAACAAACAAACAAAAAACUUCAAAUUAAGUGUUGUCUAUUUUAGACCAGCUGUAGCCAGGACUCCAGCAGCUGGUUAACAGAGUCACCAUCUCCUGCUGCCUGAUGUCACUUGUGAGUGACAAGGAGAGGGCAAAGAGGGAAUGACUUGUACCAUCCCUCCCAGCAGAACUAAAGACUUAAAGAUUGAAACUGGAAGGUUUUCAGUACACGCAAAAAGAGGUAUUUCCCUUUCUGAGCCUAUCUAUGGACUCCUUGAACCACAAAGCCCAGGCAGCUGAGAGAGUAUUUCUGAGAAGUACCUUUAACUCUCACCCUGUUCACAGUCUUUUCCAUGAGUAUCUGCUGCCAGCACUUUUGGGAACAGGCUGAGCUACUCACACUGACAUUUUUAUGCUCCUCAGUUACUUAAUUGUCUUUAUUUGACCAAGAAAUUUUAAGCAGAAGAGCAGUGUCUUGGAGGGGUGAGGAUCCGCCGGGUUGCACUGAAGGCCAACAGACCUCAGACUCGGUUCCUGCUGUCACGAGGAGCACAAUCUCCGUGCUGCUGACGUUGAUUUUACAUCUGACUUCAGCUGCAACAGGCUCAAGGAUUUCAUUAUUCAGCAGCCUCUCCAUCUGCUUUAUUGAAAAUGUGUGCAAAGAUUAAACAUGACAAGGAAUUUGUUUCCAAGAUACUGAUAUUUUGGGAUGGAUUAAGAAGUAGCCUUUUAAUUCCAGCUCCAAAAGAAAACAGGUUCAUCAAAUGUCAUCUCGAGAAUAUCCCCCUGCAUCCAGGCACCAUAAGUGUGAGAAAUGAUUUGUCGGGCACCACUACAGCUAGUUUUCGCCUGUUCCUAUCCAUCUCCUGUCAGCACUCACACCCCUGUUGACAAAACGAAUUUCGCUUUGAUUUCAUCUUUCCAGAUAACACAGAUUAACUGGAAGCUGUGUCUUUCUGUUGUUGUGAAAGCGUACAGAAGGAGCAAUCCUACAGAAGAGAUGCAGAUGUCUCAGCGAAGCUUGCAGUCAUAGUAAGCAGUGCAGACCAACAUAUUGCUGGAAACAGAGAGAUACCAGAGGUUCCAGCCACUUCAGUAAGACUUUGGGCACAAUAAAUGCAAAUACCCGUUUUACUAUGCUGUUUUAAUACCAUUUUCAUGUCUCCCAACCAGCACCUCCUGCAGGGUUACGGUCCCCAUCUUCUUGCAUUCAGCCUUCCUCCUCCUCUCCUGCAGCUGUUGUCCCGUAUGCAGCGCGGGGGGAAGAGCAGGGUCAGACAGCCACCACCGAGCUGCCUCCUGUCACCUGCCUUGCCUUCCCCCUGCAAUUCUGGUGUGACAGAUGCAGGAGAGAAGAAGAGCUCCUGGAGGAGCACACAGGUUUAUGUAUUAGUGAAGAUUUCCUCUGUUGUUUCCAGGGCAUGGGGGAAAGAGAGAAUUAGAUGAGCCAUGGCAACCCCUCCCGCUGGGAGACAGCAGCUCCACGCUUACCCUUAUUGCCACAAGGAGACAGUGAUACUGCAGUCAGGGACCUGUGUGACAGUUGUAGUGAGAAGAUCCAGGGAAAUUAAGAUGGAUCCUGCAGAUAAGCGGCAUUUAACAAAAUUAAAGUGGAUGCCUUUGGAGGCAAGAGAUGUGCUCACCUCUGGAGAGCUUGGACAGAGCUGGAGUUUGUUGGAGUGACCUCAUGAGCAGAAGAGGAGCUGUGAGUCACCUUCAUCAUCAUAACGCUUCACAGGGCCAAGAAUCUAAAAUGUCAAGAAGCUUUUUCUGGAAUAGUUGAAUAAGUUAUUUCCUAAAGCAUCUCCAGGCGGCCCCAGAGCAUCUAAUGUGGCCUCAUGUGGUCGGGAAGGGCAGUCAGCCCACAGCCCAGGCGGGCAAGGAUGGAGCUGGUGGCUUCAUACCCUGGAACAAAACCAUGUGUACUGCAGCAUAUUCGGUGUGUUUUACAGCGUGCACAUAGACCAGUGAGAAGAGAUCAUUCGCUCUCACUCCAUCCAGAGAAAGAAAGUCAGGGAAUGGAGGCUGUGAUGAGAUAAAUGGUUAUUAUGAGAUAUAGGCAUUUUUAAUUAGCUCCUGCAGACUGCACCACACUCCUAAUGAGCUCUUGCCAAGUUUGCUGUGAUUCCUCUUUACGUUUUGUAACUCUGUAAUAGUAACAAUAUAAUCAUUUUCUAUAAUAACCAUGAUAAAACCCAGAUAAUCCUUCUGUAACUCCUGCAUAAGCUUCAUGUAAUUAAAUCAGUU